rnacentral:rRNA from 1 species
GAUGAACGCUAGCUACAGGCUUAACACAUGCAAGUCGAGGGGAAACGAUAUUGGAAGCUUGCUUCCGAUAGGCGUCGACCGGCGCACGGGUGAGUAACGCGUAUCCAACCUGCCCACCACUUGGGGAUAACCUUGCGAAAGUAAGACUAAUACCCAAUGACGUCUCUAGAAGACAUCUGAAAGGGAUUAAAGAUUUAUCGGUGAUGGAUGGGGAUGCGUCUGAUUAGCUUGUUGGCGGGGUAACGGCCCACCAAGGCGACGAUCGAGUAGGGGUUCUGAGAGGAAGGUCCCCCCACAUUGGAACUGAGACACGGUCCAAAACUCCUACGGGAGGCAGCAGUGAGGAAUAUUGGUCAAUGGGCGAGAGCCUGAACCAGCCAAGUAGCGUGCAGGAUGACGGCCCUAUGGGUUGUAAACUGCUUUUAUGCGGGGAUAAAGUGAGGGGACGUGUCCCUUUUUGAGGUACCGCAUGAAUAGGACCGGCUAAUUCCGUG